rnacentral:rRNA from 1 species
GUGUCAGCAGCCGCGGUAAUACGGAGGGGGCUAGCGUUGUUCGGAAUUACUGGGCGUAAAGGGCGCGUAGGCGGGCGCAUAAGUCGGGGGUGAAAUCCCGGGGCUCAACCCCGGAACUGCCUCCGAUACUGUGUGCCUUGAGGACGGGAGAGGUGAGUGGAAUUCCGAGUGUAGAGGUGAAAUUCGUAGAUAUUCGGAGGAACACCGGUGGCGAAGGCGGCUCACUGGCCCGAUCCUGACGCUGAGGCGCGAAAGCGUGGGGAGCAAACAGGAUUAGAUACCCUGGUAGUCCACGCCCUAAACGAUGAGUGCCAGUUGUUGGCGGGCAUGCCCGUCAGUGACGCAGCUAACGCUUUGAGCACUCCGCCUGGGGAGUACGGCCGCAAGGUUAAAACUUAAAUGAAUUGACGGGG